rnacentral:piRNA from 1 species
AACAUCUGGAAGAAAACAACUGA